rnacentral:rRNA from 1 species
GACGAACGCUGGCGGCGUGCUUAACACAUGCAAGUCGAACGGAAAGGCCCUGCUUUUGUGGGGUGCUCGAGUGGCGAACGGGUGAGUAACACGUGAGUAACCUGCCCUUGACUUUGGGAUAACUUCAGGAAACUGGGGCUAAUACCGGAUAGGAGCUCCUGCUGCAUGGUGGGGGUUGGAAAGUCUCGGCGGUUGGGGAUGGACUCGCGGCUUAUCAGCUUGUUGGUGGGGUAGUGGCUUACCAAGGCUUUGACGGGUAGCCGGCCUGAGAGGGUGACCGGCCACAUUGGGACUGAGAUACGGCCCAGACUCCUACGGGAGGCAGCAGUGGGGAAUAUUGCACAAUGGGCGGAAGCCUGACGCAGCAACGCCGCGUGCGGGAUGACGGCCUUCGGGUUGUAAACCGCUUUCGCCUGUGACGAAGCGUGAGUGACGGUAAUGGGUAAAGAAGCACCGGCUAACUACGUGCCAGCAGCCGCGGUGAUACGUAGGGUGCGAGCGUUGUCCGGAUUUAUUGGGCGUAAAGGGCUCGUAGGUGGUUGAUCGCGUCGGAAGUGUAAUCUUGGGGCUUAACCCUGAGCGUGCUUUCGAUACGGGUUGACUUGAGGAAGGUAGGGGAGAAUGGAAUUCCUGGUGGAGCGGUGGAAUGCGCAGAUAUCAGGAGGAACACCAGUGGCGAAGGCGGUUCUCUGGGCCUUUCCUGACGCUGAGGAGCGAAAGCGUGGGGAGCGAACAGGCUUAGAUACCCUGGUAGUCCACGCUGUAAACGGUGGGUACUAGGUGUGGGGUCCAUUCCACGGGUUCCGUGCCGUAGCUAACGCUUUAAGUACCCCGCCUGGGGAGUACGGCCGCAAGGCUAAAACUCAAAGGAAUUGACGGGGCCCCGCACAAGCGGCGGAGCAUGCGGAUUAAUUCGAUGCAACGCGUAGAACCUUACCUGGGUUUGACAUGGAUCGGGAGCGCUCAGAGAUGGGUGUGCCUCUUUUGGGGUCGGUUCACAGGUGGUGCAUGGCUGUCGUCAGCUCGUGUCGUGAGAUGUUGGGUUAAGUCCCGCAACGAGCGCAACCCUUGUUCACUGUUGCCAGCACGUUAUGGUGGGGACUCAGUGGAGACCGCCGGGGUCAACUCGGAGGAAGGUGGGGAUGACGUCAAGUCAUCAUGCCCCUUAUGUCAGGGCCUCACGCAUGCUACAAUGGCUGGUACAGAGAGUGGCGAGCCUGUGAGGGUGAGCGAAUCUCGGAAAGCCGGUCUCAGUUCGGAUUGGGGUCUGCAACUCGACCUCAUGAAGUCGGAGUCGCUAGUAAUCGCAGAUCAGCAACGCUGCGGUGAAUACGUUCCCGGG